GAUGAACGCUGGCGGCGUGCCUAACACAUGCAAGUCGAACGGAGUUUAUUCGCUGCGGAGGUUUCGGCCGAAGCUUGAGUAAACUUAGUGGCGGACGGGUGAGUAACGCGUGGGCAACCUGCCUCGUACCGGGGGAUAACAGUUGGAAACGACUGUUAAUACCGCAUAAGCGCACGGUAUCGCAUGAUACAGUGUGAAAAACUCCGGUGGUACGAGAUGGGCCCGCGUCAGAUUAGCCAGUUGGCGGGGUAACGGCCCACCAAAGCGACGAUCUGUAGCCGGACUGAGAGGUCGGACGGCCACAUUGGGACUGAGACACGGCCCAAACUCC
rnacentral:rRNA from 1 species